UUUUAGCCCAGAUUGAAACGGCAUCCUUUCCUUAUCUCGUUUUUUUUUAAACGAGAUAAGGAAAGAUACAGUGGAAAGCUGGAUUAGCU
rnacentral:sRNA from 1 species